GAGGGUAUAGCCCAGUGGUAGAGCACGUGCCUAACACGCACGAGGUCCUGGGCUCAAUCCCCAGUACCUCCA
rnacentral:tRNA from 1 species